AGGUUCCUGCUUUGAGCUCCUGCCCUGACUUCCCUCAAUGAUGGAUUGUGACCUGAGUAAUUAAUUCUGUGAUAAUGGUGAUGCUUAAAGCUGUCAUCCUGGAAGAAGGCAACCUGGAAAGCAUGAUGAUGCUGCUUGAGGUAAAGGCACUUCACAGGCAUGGAAGCCUGAGUCCAAUCCACUGACUCCACAGAGGCAGAAGGAAAGAACUGAUUCCACAAAGUUGUCCUCUGGACUGCAUGUAUCUGCUGUCCAUGCACGUAUACAUACUAAAUAAAUUUUUAAAAUGAACACAGGGCAAGUCAGAAUAAUUAGUAAGAUGGUGUCUAGCUAUAUCAUUAAUAUAAAUGGGUAAUUGCUCCCAUUAUAAAAUAUUGACAAACUAGUUAAUAAAAUUGAGCAGUUUGCUACUUCUGAGGGGCUGGAGAGAUGGCUCAGUGGUUGAUAGCCCUGACUGCUCUUUCAUCGGACCCAGGUUCAAUUCCUAGCACCCACAUUGCUGCUAACAACUGUGUAACUCCGGUUCCAGGGGAAUCCGAUGCCUCUUUUGACCUCCACAGGCAUUACAUGACUCAAGUGCACUCAAUGCAGGCAAUCACAUAAAAAUAAAAUACUUAAAAAAUUUUGA